rnacentral:misc_RNA from 1 species
UACGAAGGCCCCGAGCGUUAACCGAAAUAAUUGGGCGUAAAGCAUCUGUAGGCGGAGUGGCACGUCUGCUGUUAAAUCCUGGGGCUCAACCCCAUGGGCUGCAGUGGAUACGGCCACCCUUGAGGGACGGAGAGGUAGACGGAACUCCUGGUGGAGCGGUGAAAUGCGUUGAUAUCAGGGGGAACACCAAUUGCGAAGGCAGUCUACUGGUCGUCUCCUGACGCUGAGAGAUGACAGCGUGGGUAGCGAAUGGG